CUACGGGGGGCAGCAGUGAGGAAUAUUGGUCAAUGGGCGCAAGCCUGAACCAGCCACUCCGCGUGUAGGAUGACUGCCCUAUGGGUUGUAAACUACUUUUAUACAGGAAGAAACCUCCUUACGUGUAGGGAGCUGACUGUACUGUAAGAAUAAGCAUCGGCUAACUCCGUGCCAGCAGCCGCGGUAAUACGGAGGAUGCAAGCGUUAUCCGGAUUUAUUAGGUCUAAAGGGUUCGUAGGCGGAUAAUUAAGUCAGUGGUGAAAUCCUACAGCUUAACUGUAGAACUGCCAUUGAUACUGGUUGUCUUGAGUAUAGUUGAGGUAGGCGGAAUGUGUAGUGUAGCGGUGAAAUGCUUAGAUAUUACACAGAACACCGAUUGCGAAGGCAGCUUACUAAGCUAUUACUGACGCUAAGGAACGAAAGCGUGGGGAGCGAACAGGAUUAGAUACCCGAGUAGUC
rnacentral:rRNA from 1 species